UAGUCCACGCCGUAAACGAUGAAUACUAGGUGUCGGCUUUCGCGAGUCGGUGCCGCAGCUAACGCAUUAAGUAUUCCACCUGGGGAGUACGAUCGCAAGAUUGAAACUCAAAGGAAUUGACGGGGGCCCGCACAAGCGGUGGAGCAUGUGGUUUAAUUCGAAGCAACGCGAAGAACCUUACCAGGUCUUGACAUCCUACUGACCGGAACUUAACCGUUCCUUUCCUUCGGGACAGUAGUGACAGGUGGUGCAUGGUUGUCGUCAGCUCGUGUCGUGAGAUGUUGGGUUAAGUCCCGCAACGAGCGCAACCCUUAUCUUUAGUAGCCAGCACAUUAUGGUGGGGACUCUAGAGAGACUGCCGGUGACAAACCGGAGGAAGGUGGGGAUGGACGUCAAAUCAUCAUGCCCCUUAUGAUCUGGGGCUACGACACGUGCUACAAUGGCGGAUACAAAGGGGAGCGAAGCCGUGAGGUGAAGCAAACCCCAAAAAGUCCGU
rnacentral:rRNA from 1 species